rnacentral:rRNA from 1 species
AUUGAACGCUGGCGGCAGGCCUAACACAUGCAAGUCGAGCGAGAGGCGCACGGGUGAGUAAUGUGUGGGAAACUGCCCGUUGGAGGGGGGUAACUCCUGGAAAAGGUAGCCUAUACCGCAUACUAUCAGAUGUGCCCCGAUGGGAUUAGCUAGUAGGUGGGGUAACGGCUCACCUAGGCGACGAUCCCUAGCUGGUCUGAGAGGAUGACCAGCCACACUGGAACUGAGACACGGUCCAGACUCCUACGGGAGGCAGCAGUGGGGAAUAUUGCACAAUGGGCGCAAGCCUGAUGCAGCCAUGCCGCGUGUGUGAAGAAGGCCUUCGGGUUGUAAAGCACUUUCAGCGGGGAGGCGUUACCCGCAGAAGAAGCACCGGCUAACUCCGUGCCAGCAGCCGCGGUAAUAC